AAAUAUUAAGAAAAUUGAUUACACCCAUUUGGAAAUCAUUGAAUGGAAAUCGAAUGUGAAGAUCACUAAAAAAACAAGCAUAAAAAUAAAAAAAAAUUCACUUUUUUCAUUUUCACGACCAUGCCAAACGUUAUCAACAUUCUCGGCACGCUGAAAAGAAAUUAUAUCCUCAUUAAUAUUAGAAGAAUAGAUUUGGGUGUUAGAAAGAAAAUCACAAAGCUCAUUAGAGGAACGAUACAGAGAGAAAAAUUCUUGGACUUUAGAAUUAACCCAGUUGUAACCAGGACGAGGGGUUCUUUGUGGUGCAAUCCUUUCGACUUUGUGGGGUACGACAGCAGUAGCAGCUUCAUUCGAAUCUUUCAUACAUGAAAGAGUAACAAAUGAGGACUUGGAUUCCAGAUUUUGCUCAGUUCGUACCACUCGUUCAGUAGAUUCACAACUUCGAAAAACCGGUAAAUUCAUCAGAAACGAAAAAAGAGCUCAAAAUAGACAUUAUACCUUUGAAACAAUUUGCUAGAUCUCUCAGAAAAGAACAAGAUAAGAUAGUACCCAAAAUAGCAAAUGAAGCAAAGUAUUUAUAAUGGAAGUAAAACCCUAAAAUUUGAAACGUCAUAACAUCUCAAACCGUUCAAAUAUUUUUCAUCUAACGGUUGAGUGAAUCGUUCACAUCAAAUCAUUUGUUCUGAUCAAGAAAAAACACACAAAACGAGACAUUUAAUGCAAAAUCAAAAAUGAUUUCUAAAAAAAUUCUUGACACAUUUCAUAAUAUUAGGCAUAAAGAUUUUCUAAUGUAAAUAAAAAUCUUUAUGCUUGGGGGGCUAGUGUACUACCAGGACCGAGAGGGAUAACCGAGAGUAUAUACCGAGAAGUUAUACCGAGAACUAUAUAUAUAAAGGAUAAAACAAACAUAUAUACAUAAUCACUAUAGCAAGGCCCAAAUCAAUAAGAGUCCAAAUUAAUGGGUGUGUAUAAAAUAAUAAAGAGGUGCAGAAAGAAAGGCCCAAACAAGGUAUAAGCCCAAUAAGAAAACCCUAUAAAUAGAGGAUCAACCCAAGAGGUAAGGUAGAGUGAAUUUUAUCUGAUGAAUGUAAAACUAUUUCUGACUUUGACAUCGGAGCGCCUUGCAGGUACACACUCCCAUCUUUGAGAAGAGAAGCUGAAAGUCCAACCUGGAGAGAAGUCAAAAGUCCAACAUGGAGAGAAGCCAAAAGCCCAACCUGGAGAGAAGCUGGAAGCCCAAAUCCAAGAGACCGACUAGUGAAGUCUGUGUUGUCAGCUUGUUUGAGUGUUCUCAAUCCUUUUUGUGAGAACAGUCUCAAUAUAUCAAUGUAUAGUUAAUAAAUUUUAUGUGAAAUAAUCCAUUGAGUUGUUCUUUGUAAUUUUGAGAAUCAUUUAAGAACCACAUAAUCAAUUUAAAAAAGAUAUAAUUGAUUAUCUCGUAAUUUCAUAAUAAUUGAUAUGUGUAUUUAUUAAUUGUAUGAACUAAUAAUUUAUUAAGUUGUUUCAAUUGUAUUUUGAGAUAUAAUUUAUUAUCAUUAAAUUUAAUUGAUUAAGUUUUUUUAAGAUAGUUUCAUAUAAUGUUUUUUGUGCUCUUCUGGGUUUAACAAUUUACAAAUUAUAUUAUAUUUCUUACUUACUCAAGAAACAGUUUAAGAAACCGAGUAGCAUUAAUUUUAUAUAUUUUAGUAAAGUUUUCUUCCAUCAAGAAAUUUGGUGACUUAGACUCUUUUAUAUAUAAUAAUAAGAAUUUUAUAUCAGUAGAGAAUUAUUCAUAUAUUUUAUAUAUUUAUUUAUUAGUUUUUCACGAGUCAAUAUUCUAUAGAAAAUAUCCCAAAAUCUUCGUGAACAUUUCUUAUUAAAGAGGUUUUGUUUCUACUUGUACAACAAGUACAUAUUAAAAAAAAAAAAAAUACGAAAAAGAGUGAAAUCUUUGUAAGUCUUAAAUAUCAAUCUUAAUAAACUUAACACACAAUGCAGAAUGCGCGUCAAUGAUUUUACCUAUAUUCCAUACGACUUAAUCUCACUUUAUGACACAUGGAUUCACAUUCCACAUCUGAUGAUCCACUUUAAACAUCAAAAGUUACUUGGAAAGUGAUUAGGUAGUUGAGUAUUUUUCAUAAAAAACAUUGACACAAUCAUAAUUAAUUUUUUCGAUAAUUCUGGUCAUCUACCAAUAAAAGGGGAUGCUAACUACCUAACAUCGACGAUGCUGAACAAGUAUUGGACAGUCCCAAGUUUGACCAAUGAAUAUCUUAGUCCAGAGUGUUAUUCUGAACUAUCUAGAUAUUCACCUAUUUGGUAACUUUUUUAGACCACACCCGGUCUCUGCCUUUCAUUUCGCAAUGUACCAAAGUGUGACUUACUAAAUACAAAAACUCAUACAUUAACAUGGUCUUAACUCAAUGCAAUGAAUUUUAUGACUUUUUCUUCUCAACUGACAUAUUCUUUGGCACUUUCAAGAAUCACAUAACAUGGUGACUUUUAAGAUAUGUCACAUUUUUCUUACCAAUAAUUUAUACACAUCAUUCAAAAAGAUAAAAAAAAUAUAAAAAUAAAUAAAACAUGUAAGUAACUUUCUUUUAUCCAAACUUAUUAAAUAAAAAUAAUAAUUACUUUUAUUUUAUUUUAAUUAUUACUUUAUAUAUUUAUUUUGAGUUAAAAGAAUUAUAUUUCAAAUAAAAUAAAAUAAAAUAAAUAUUAAAGCAAGAACUUUAAAUAAUUAGAUAUGAAUUAAUAUAUUAUAGGAAAAUAGAAUAAUAAAAAUAUAAAUAAAUAAAUAGGACUAAUGUGCAGGUAAAAUAAAUAAAUAACUAAAUAUGAUCAAUGUGUAACUAGAGAAAAAAAAUAAAUAAAAAGAACCAGAUUGUGACUAAAAAUAAAAAUAAAUAAAUAGGACAAUUAGAGAUAAAAAUAAAUAAAUAAAUAGUACGAAUGUGUAAAUGAAAAAAAAAUAAAGAAAUAAAUAGGAAAAGUGUGUAACUAGAACUAAUAGUAAAUAAAUAAAAUUAAUGAGUGUAUAAGUUUAUUGAAAUUACUAUAAAAGAGUUUAAUCUUACUUCGUGUCUUACCUUUAAUUGGAGAGAUAUAUCACAAGUAAAGCUUCAAGUGUGAAGAUUGAAAACCUCCUUACUCCAAAUAUCCUUUUUUUUUUUCUCUUUUUUUCUCCCUUUCUCUCUUUUCUUACUCUACUAGCUUCCCCUUACCUUCUUC
rnacentral:lncRNA from 1 species